UGAGUACGAGAUGCUACGGCAUCGAAGCAGUCUAUGUCAUACUUCCAAGAAAAGCUUGCACUGUCAGAAACAGAUAAUGCCUGUACCAUAACCGACACAGGUGGGUAGGUAGAGUAUACUAAGGGGCGCGAGAUAACUCUCUCUAAGGAACUCGGCAAAAUGACUCCGUAACUUCGGGAGAAGGAGUGCCUUAUUUUUAAGGUUGCAAUAACAAGAUCCAAGCAACUGUUUACCAAAAACACAGGUCUCCGCUAAGUCGUAAGACGAUGUAUGGGGGCUGACGCCUGCCCAGUGCCAGAAGGUUAAAGAAGUCGGUUAGCAUUCGCGAAGCUGGUAACUGAAGCCCUGGUGAACGGCGGCCGUAACAAUAACGGUCCUAAGGUAGCGAAAUUCCUUGUCGGGUAAGCUCCGACCCGCACGAAAGGCGUAAUGAUUUGGAUACUGUCUCGGAGAGGGGCUCGGUGAAAUAGACUUGUCUGUGAAGAUGCGGACUACCUGCACCUGGACAGAAAGACCCUAUGAAGCUUUACUGUAACUUGAAAUCGAAAUUGGACUUUAUUUGCGCAGUAUAGGUGGGAGGCGUUGAAAAUAUUCUUGCGGGAACAUUGGAGCCAUCAGUGAGAUACCACUCUUGUAAUGUUAGAUUUCUAACUUUAUAUCAUUAUCUGGUUAAAGAACAGUUUCAGGCGGGCAGUUUGACUGGGGCGGUCGCCUCCCAAAUGGUAACGGAGGCGCACAAAGGUUUCCUCUGAACGGGUAGAAAUCGUAUCUAGAGUGUAAAGGCAUAAGGAAGCUUGACUGUGAGACCUACAAGUCGAGCAGGGACGAAAGUCGGUCUUAGUGAUCUGACGGUGCUGAGUGGAAAGGCCGUCACUCAACGGAUAAAAGUUACUCUAGGAUAACAGGCUGAUCUCCCCCAAGAGUUCACAUCGACGGGGAGGUUUGGCACCUCGAUGUCGGCUCAUCGCAUCCUGGGGCGGUAGUACGUCCCAAGGGUUGGGCUGUUCGCCCAUGAAAGCGGUACGCGAGCUGGGUUCAGAACGUCGUGAGACAGUUCGGUCCAUAUCCGGUGUAGGCGUUAGAAUAUUGAGAGGAGCCUUCUUUAGUACGAGAGGACCGAGAAGGACAUACCUCUGGUGUACCAGUUAUCGUGCCAACGGUAAACGCUGGGUAGCUAUGUAUGGAGUGGAUAACCGCUGAGAGCAUCUAAGUGGGAAGCCCACCUCAAGAUAAGUA
rnacentral:rRNA from 1 species